AUGAACGCUGGCGGCGUGCCUAAUACAUGCAAGUCGAGCGAACGGACGAGAAGCUUGCUUCUCUGAUGUUAGCGGCGGACGGGUGAGUAACACGUGGAUAACCUACCUAUAAGACUGGGAUAACUUCGGGAAACCGGAGCUAAUACCGGAUAAUAUUUUGAGCCGCAUGGUUCAAAAGUGAAAGACGGUCUUGCUGUCACUUAUAGAUGGAUCCGCGCUGCAUUAGUUAGUUGGUAAGGUAACGGCUUACCAAGGCAACGAUGCAUAGCCGACCUGAGAGGGUGGUCGGCCACACUGGAACUUAGACACGGUCCAGACUCCUACGGGAGGCAGCAGUAGGGAAUCUUCCGCAAUGGGCGAAAGCCUGACGGAGCAACGCCGCGUGAGUGAUGAAGGUCUUCGGAUCGUAAAACUCUGUUAUUAGGGAAGAACAUAUGUGUAAGUAACUGUGCACAUCUUGACGGUACCUAAUCAGAAAGCCACGGCUAACUACGUG
rnacentral:rRNA from 1 species